AAAGCUUCUUUCAAUACCAUUUUGUUUGCAAAUCGCAUUCCCAUCCUAAACUUUGGAUUCCUUAAAUCCACCUCUCUCCUAUAGUCCUUCAACUUUGGCAAAUUUUUUUUUUUUCUUUCGUUUGCCCUUUUCCACACCAUUACCCUCAUCCUAAUCCUCUUCAUCACUUCAUGUGUCCAAAUAUGAUGUGUUACCACCAUCUGAUGAUACCUCUCCUGGAGCUUCAUGAGUAGGCCCAACAUUCUCAAUGCAUUAGGGUCAAUAGUAGGCUCAACAUUCUCACCUGUAUUGGGCUGAACAGUACGCCCAACAUUCUCGCCUGUAUUGGGCUCACCACUGGAGCCCCCAACUACCACAUUCUCAGUUACAAGCACCUCAUCCUCUUGUUCACUGAAUUCAUAAUCACUAUCCACAAAUUUUGUAUCAUUUUCCUCAUUUUCCCCUUCAUUUCCAACUUCUACAUCUG
rnacentral:lncRNA from 1 species